rnacentral:rRNA from 1 species
CGAAAGCCUGACGGAGCAAGACCGCGUGAGGGAGGAAGGCUCUUGGGUUGUAAACCUCUUUUCUCAGGGAAGAAGCUCUGACGGUACCUGAGGAAUCAGCCUCGGCUAACUCCGUGCCAGCAGCCGCGGUAAUACGGAGGAUGCAAGCGUUAUCCGGAAUCAUUGGGCGUAAAGCGUCCGCAGGUGGCGUAUCAAGUCUGCUGUCAAAGACUAGAGCUUAACUCUGGAAAGGCAGUGGAAACUGGUAGGCUAGAGUACGGUAGGGGUAGAGGGAAUUCCCAGUGUAGCGGUGAAAUGCGUAGAUAUUGGGAAGAACACCAGUGGCGAAGGCGCUCUACUGGGCCGUAACUGACACUCAGGGACGAAAGCUAGGGUAGCG